AUUCCAUUAUCACUCUAGAAUCAAUGGCUUUAGAUUUAGGCAUUAAGAAAAAACAACUCCUCAAAACUAAUUUGAUGAGAAAAUUCCUUUAUUUUGGUAUCAUAUUAGUUGUGUCUGCCAAAGUCUUCUGUCGAAUAAAGAAGAAUGAAGAAUUCAUGAUGCAACGUUGACAUGUGACUGGCAAAAACAGACAGAUGAUAGCCUGCCCAAGGCAAAAAAUUAAUGGAAAAAUGUACGAGUAUAACUGGAAUGUAGACCGUCUUUCCCGCAUUCGGAAACACUUUUUGAAAUUUGAUUGAGGGAUUUUCCAUAGAACUUUCCACAACGAAUCGAUUGGCAAUUGCCAUUCCGCUUCAUUUAUAAUCGGGAAUAAUUUAAAUAUGGAAAAUCAUAUUCGAAAUUAAAGUAAUGGCAACAGCAGCAAAAACAAUAUAAAAAUGAAACACUUAAUAACUUUAGCAGCAUGAAUGGUUUUGUUAUUAAGUAAUAAAGUAAUUACAAUUUAA